AUUAUUUCCUAGUAAGAGAAAUUCAAUGAUGAACAAGAUGGUUUUUCCAGGUGAAUAUCUUUUAUUGCACUCUAGGUAUGUUGACCCCUCUGAUUUUUCCUGAUGCUGGAAAUCCAAUUGCAUAAUUUGUGGUAGGAGGAGACAGUGCUCACAAUUUUCAUA